rnacentral:rRNA from 1 species
ACGGGUGAGUAACGCGUGGGAACGUACCUUUUGGUUCGGGACAACACAGGGAAACUUGUGCUAAUACCGGAUAAGCCCUUACGGGGAAAGAUUUAUCGCCGAAAGAUCGGCCCGCGUCUGAUUAGCUAGUUGGUGAGGUAAUGGCUCACCAAGGCGACGAUCAGUAGCUGGUCUGAGAGGAUGAUCAGCCACACUGGGACUGAGACACGGCCCAGACUCCUACGGGAGGCAGCAGUGGGGAAUAUUGGACAAUGGGCGCAAGCCUGAUCCAGCCAUGCCGCGUGAGUGAUGAAGGCCCUAGGGUUGUAAAGCUCUUUUGUGCGGGAAGAUAAUGACGGUACCGCAAGAAUAAGCCCCGGCUAACUUCGUGCCAGCAGCCGCGGUAAUACGAAGGGGGCUAGCGUUGCUCGGAAUCGCUGGGCGUAAAGGGUGCGUAGGCGGGUCUUUAAGUCAGGGGUGAAAUCCUGGAGCUCAACUCCAGAACUGCCUUUGAUACUGAAGAUCUUGAGUUCGGGAGAGGUGAGUGGAACUGCGAGU